AGGUGGUGAUUGACUGAUUCGUGCAUGUCCAUGCAAUUUGGCGCAUUCAGCUGCGUGCUUGCGGAUGUGGAUGUAUUUCACAGAAGCAGCAGCAGCCUGCCUUCCCUUCCCUGGAUUCCAUCUGCUGUGCAAAACAAGAUCUGUAGUCAUUCCCAGCAAGUAGGAAGGCCCUGAGCCAGGCGUGUACCAGAACAUUCGAGAAUCAGCAGAGACCAGUGUGUUUGGAGAGGCGCAAGCAGGAGGAGCAAGUAAUGGAAGAUGAGGUGAGGGAGGCAAGCCGUUGCAGACUCUGCAUGGCCUUUGAGGCCACCUUCAGGUCUGUGCCUUUACUCUGCAUGAUGAGA